UACGGGGGGUGCAAGCGUUGUUCGGAAUUACUGGGCGUAAAGGGCUUGUAGGUGGCCAACUAAGUCAGACGUGAAAUCCCUCGGCUUAACCGGGGAACUGCGUCUGAUACUGGAUGGCUUGAGUGUGGGAGAGGGAUGCGGAAUUCCAGGUGUAGCGGUGAAAUGCGUAGAUAUCUGGAGGAACACCGGUGGCGAAGGCGGCGUCCUGGACCAACACUGACACUGAGGAGCGAAAGCCAGGGGAGCAAACGGG
rnacentral:rRNA from 1 species